AUUGAACGCUGGCGGCAGGCUUGACACAUGCAAGUCGAGCGGAGAUGAGGUGCUUGCACCUCAUCUUAGCGGCGGACGGGUGAGUAAUGCUUAGGAAUCUGCCUAUUAGUGGGGGACAACAUUCCGAAAGGAAUGCUAAUACCGCAUACGUCCUACGGGAGAAAGCAGGGGAUCUUCGGACCUUGCGCUAAUAGAUGAGCCUAAGUCGGAUUAGCUAGUUGGUGGGGUAAAGGCCUACCAAGGCGACGAUCUGUAGCGGGUCUGAGAGGAUGAUCCGCCACACUGGGACUGAGACACGGCCCAGACUCCUACGGGAGGCAGCAGUGGGGAAUAUUGGACAAUGGGGGGAACCCUGAUCCAGCCAUGCCGCGUGUGUGAAGAAGGCCUUAUGGUUGUAAAGCACUUUAAGCGAGGAGGAGGCUACUGAGACUAAUACUCUUGGAUAGUGGACGUUACUCGCAGAAUAAGCACCGGCUAACUCUGUGCCAGCCGCCGCAGUAAAAC
rnacentral:rRNA from 1 species